CGCGGGGCAUGCCGGGAGGAGCCGCUCGCCGCCCUCGGGCAGCCGCCAUGUUGGGGGGGUGUCGCGGCCCGGGAUCGCAUAGGAGCGGGAAUGUGGUGCCAACGAAGUCCUGCACCUAUGAAAGUUCCUUUCGCAAUUUUACGUCAGAGAAUAUACCCUGGAGUACAGCUGCAUUAUGAUACACUCCCUGGAUGUGCAGAGUUAUCACAAGAGGAAUUACCAGAGAAACAAUUACUUAGAUGGGCACAGUAGCAAAUGCAAGCAGGCUCCUACUGAAAUUGAUGAGCAGAACUGGACGUCAUGAUUCUGGAAAGUAGGAAAGAGUUAAUUUGGCAGUUGGUGGAUCCUGAGCUGGAAAGAGGACACGUUGGUUCCAGGAGAGGAAAGCAGGCUGCCUGGUGUCCUGUCUCCUGCACUCUGGAUGAGGAACAGCAAAGGUGGCACCUUCUCUGAGUGCAUUGCAAGUUGCACAGCUGGGAGAGGCUGGAGUGCAGGAUGGGAUGGGCAAGGGAGAGAUGGCAGCAGGCGCUCCGUGGCAGGAGGGAGAUGGGAAGACUCCUGUGUAAGCACAGGGACAGCUUUCCUCCAAGGUGAGGAAGAGGAGACUUUGAAGAACACAGAAAGAAACUGGAUGGAAGUGAAAAUGGAAAGCCCUUCUAUAUGCUCCCUUCAAAAAGCAGAUGCAGCAUUUACAUGUAAGGCGCUGAGUGAUCUGAGUUCCUUUGCACUGAGCCGUAGUUAUUUUGAGCAUACCCAGGUGGUGUAAGUACUGACUACAAGAAA